UGCGUUGUCUUUACAUAGCUGUUAGGAAUCGGUCUUCAUGUGAUCCGGUUUUUCCGUUUUUCUGUUUAGCACGAAGCCAGCGUCGUUGUGCUGUGCCGUGCGUGUAGAUCGCUCGCAGGAUGUUCUCUCGGUCGUGGGAUGGCACGAUCACGUAGGGGAGUCUUUUCCGGAGCAGUUUCUUUCCGUUGAGAAUAAAUAGAACAAACGAAAAGCAGC
rnacentral:lncRNA from 1 species